CCCGCACAAGCGGUGGAGCAUGUGGUUUAAUUCGAUGCAACGCGAAGAACCUUACCUAGACUUGACAUCCCGGGAAUCCUUAGGAAACUAAGGAGUGCCUUUCGGGGAGCCCGGAGACAGGUGCUGCAUGGCUGUCGUCAGCUCGUGUCGUGAGAUGUUGGGUUAAGUCCCGCAACGAGCGCAACCCUUAUCCCUAGUUGCCAUCAGGUAAAGCUGGGGAACUCUGGGGAGACUGCCGGUGAUAAACCGGAGGAAGGCGGGGAUGACGUCAAGUCCUCAUGGCCCUUACAUCCCGGGCUACACACGUGCUACAAUGGCAGGUACAGAGGGCUGCGAAGCCGCGAGGUGGAGCGAAUCCCAGAAAACCUGUCUCAGUCCGGAUUGAAGUCUGCAACUCGACUUCAUGAAGGCGGAAUCGCUAGUAACCGCGAAUCAGCAGGUCCGCGGUCGAAUACGUUCCCGGGCCUU
rnacentral:rRNA from 1 species